GAGCAAUGCUUUCGUAAAGCAGAGGUCGCCGGUUCGAUUCCGGCCACUGGCUCCA
rnacentral:tRNA from 1 species